rnacentral:lncRNA from 1 species
AGUUCUGAGAUGUGGUUUGAUAACUGUUUUAGGCACCGAGCGUUCGGGACGCCUUGGUUCUGAUGUUAGGGAGUCGUAGUGCGGACCCCAGGUGAGUGGGCGGUUAUUUUCUGUAUAUACCUAUAUACUACCGAUUUUUCCCAGAAAUUGAAUUUAAAUAAAAGUAUGUUUUAAAAUGCCAUGAAUGCAUAAUAUAUGAAAUAUAUGAAUUAGUAUUUGAUGCAUAUAUUUGAAAUGGUGAUGUGGACGCACAUGUGAGUAUUAGGUGAGUUUUAUGUUGUUCAUGUGAUUUAUUGAUGAUGUAAAUUGUGUUGAGAUCUCAUAACCUGCACCCCUGUGUUAGUGCUUAUAUUAUUCACCCCGCACCAUACGCUCACCUUGGAUCCAAGUAGGUGCAUGUCGUACAGACCAUUAGAGGUGGUUCCGACAUGUUGUA